UGGGUUCUGAUGGGCUGAAAAUGCAGCAUAUAAGGCAUGCAAACAAAUGCAGUGCUUAGAAUUGGAGAGGACAGAAGCCUGGUGGUGCUGACCAUAUAAAUGUUUUAUUUUUGGAAGCAGAGCUGCAGUCCUGUGGAGCCAUCACUCCUGUGCUGUUGAGUGACCUCUUGGAUUUUCUUCGCCAUAACAAAAAUCAUAACUAGUAAAUGUGUCAUAUUAUUUGCUACUGACUGAUAUGUAGCUGUUAUGCAUGUUUUUAUACAGAUGAAAGUCUUGAUAUUGUAUCACAUAGUAAGCUGAUAGAGAAAUAACUCCCCUUGCCUGAAUAACAUGUGUUGUUUGCUGGAGAUCAGAG
rnacentral:lncRNA from 1 species